AACCGAAUCGCCCCGUCCCUCUAAGAAAUCCUAUCCCUCCUGCCCACCACCCGCUGCCACCCCCACUCCACCCACGACCAAACUACCUCCGGCCCGCUCCCCCUGGCGGCGCCGACCCCACCCGCUCCGGCCACACCUCUCGUGACUCGCCCCACUUGCCUCUCUCCCAGCUCCGGCGGACGGGCGGGAGGUCGGACCCAUCCGCCGCCGUGCCGCCCAACCCCUGUCAACCUUCUACCGCGGCCGCCGUCGGAGCACCACUCCAAGUCGCCGCCGUGCCGCCUCACCCUCCACCCACCUUCCACCGGCGCUGUCGCGCGUCGUCCCGCCCGCCCUUCUUCGCAUCACAAGCCGGCCUCCCCAACCACGGCAAUCCCCACCACCAUCGCUGGAUUCGAUUGCCUCCGGAUCCAGCAGCCCUGCACCCCUCGGCCUUCCCUCUGCACGCCGUCGAUCUCCCCUGGAGUACCCAGAUUUCGAGAUCACCGCGUCGCCAUGAAUCCCCCCGGAUCUAGGUGGCGGAUGUCCCCGUCGGCCUCCUCUUGUCUGUCCUCCACGAGGGGGUAUAGUCAUGAAGGGGGAGCACCACAUCUCAGAUCCACUAGGCGGCACCGCCGUGGCCCUUCGUCGCGUGCUCGGAUCCAGCCGGGCUUUCUCAUUGCUGUGAGCGGAGGACCCCGGGCAGAGGACCACUUGACGUGGCCCAUGCAGCGACGAGCGGGGCGGGCUCCAUUCCUCUCCCGGCCGAGACCGUGCUCCUCUCGGGACACAGCGACCUCCAGCACGCGACACCACCACCCCUCCCUUCCUACAGAGCUUGCAUCUCGCCGGCGUGUGGGUGUGCAGCUCAUAGGAAAAGGCGUUGAGCCACUGGUGCAGUUCGCCAGGGAUCUCCAAAUUGUUCGGUUGCCCUCGUAUGCGGUUCAGAGCGUGUGGCGCUGUGCUCGUGGGUCGUCCGAUGGUGCUCUUGUGGAAUAACACAUAGUUCUCCGUUGCCUACCACAUAUAUGUUCGUUUUGGGGAGCGGUACGUUCUUUGUGGACGUGCACUUCGUUCGGCACCGAGCGGCUUGAAGCUCAUUUUGCACGCGCGUGCAGCUCUGCUACCUAUUUCGUGCAGUUCUUUUUCUAAUUCAAUUUGUUUUGUUUGUGGGACGAUUGAAAAUUUAAGUUCAAUCCAUUUAUGUAGCAGCUCAUUACCCCUCUGUUUGAAGUGCAAUUUGUUUUGUGUGUCUCAAAAUUCAGUCAACUACAUCAACACUUGCAAUGCAUUUGGUUCUCGGAUGUGGUUCAUUUUUUAGAGUGAUGUA
rnacentral:rRNA from 1 species